GAUGAACGCUGGCGGUGUGCCUAAUACAUGCAAGUCGUACGCAUUCUCGUUUCUGAUUGACGGUGCUUGCACCUAAUUGACGAGACAUUGGAAUGAGUGGCGGACGGGUGAGUAACACGUGGGUAACCUGCCCAGAAGCGGGGGAUAACAUUUGGAAACAGAUGCUAAUACCGCAUAAAAGUCAAAACCACAUGGUUUUGAUUUGAAAGAUGGCCUUUGUGCUAUCACUUCUGGAUGGACCCGCGGCGUAUUAGCUAGUUGGUAAGGUAACGGCUUACCAAGGCAAUGAUACGUAGCCGAACUGAGAGGUUGAUCGGCCACAAUGGGACUGAGACACGGCCCAUACUCCUACGGGAGGCAGCAGUAGGGAAUCUUCCACAAUGGGCGCAAGCCUGAUGGAGCAACACCGCGUGAGUGAAGAAGGGUUCGGCUCGUAAAACUCUGUUGUUAAAGAAGAACGUAUCUAAGAGUAACUGCUUAGGUAGUGACGGUAUUUAACCAGAAAGCCACGGCUAACUACGUGCCAGCCGCCUCCGUAA
rnacentral:rRNA from 1 species